UACGGAGGGGACUAGCGUUGUUCGGAAUUACUGGGCGUAAAGCGCGUGUAGGCGGCCCUGCAAGUCGGAUGUGAAAUCCCACGGCUCAACCGUGGAAGUGCAUUCGAAACUGCAGGGCUAGAGUCCUGGAGAGGAAGGUGGAAUGCUUGGUGUAGAGGUGAAAUUCGUAGAUAUCAAGCGGAACACCGGUGGCGAAGGCGGCCUUCUGGACAGUGACUGACGCUGAGACGCGAAAGCGUGGGGAGCAAACAGG
rnacentral:rRNA from 1 species